rnacentral:rRNA from 1 species
UAGAACGUCGUGAGACAGUUCGGUCCCUAUCUGCCGUGGGCGCUGGAGAACUGAGGGGGGCUGCUCCUAGUACGAGAGGACCGGAGUGGACGCAUCACUGGUGUUCGGGUUGUCAUGCCAAUGGCACUGCCCGGUAGCUAAAUGCGGAAGAGAUAAGUGCUGAAAGCAUCUAAGCACGAAACUUGCCCCGAGAUGAGUUCUCCCUGACUCCUUGAGAGUCCUGAAGGAACGUUGAAGACGACGACGUUGAUAGGCCGGGUGUGUAAGCGCAGCGAUGCGUUGAGCUAACCGGUACUAAUGAACCGUGAGGCUUAACCUUACAACGCCGAAG